rnacentral:rRNA from 1 species
AGUGAACGCUGGCGGUAGGCCUAACACAUGCAAGUCGAACGGCAGCACAGUAAGAGCUUGCUCUUACGGGUGGCGAGUGGCGGACGGGUGAGGAAUACAUCGGAAUCUACUUUUUCGUGGGGGAUAACGUAGGGAAACUUACGCUAAUACCGCAUACGACCUACGGGUGAAAGCAGGGGAUCUUCGGACCUUGCGCGAUUGAAUGAGCCGAUGUCGGAUUAGCUAGUUGGCGGGGUAAAGGCCCACCAAGGCGACGAUCCGUAGCUGGUCUGAGAGGAUGAUCAGCCACACUGGAACUGAGACACGGUCCAGACUCCUACGGGAGGCAGCAGUGGGGAAUAUUGGACAAUGGGCACAAGCCUGAUCCAGCCAUACCGCGUGGGUGAAGAAGGCCUUCGGGUUGUAAAGCCCUUCUGUUGGGAAAGAAAAGCAGCAGGUUAAUACCCCGCUGUUCUGACGGUACCCAAAGAAUAAGCACCGGCUAACUUCGUG